GCUUACGGCCAUACCAACCUGAAUGCGCCCGAUCUCGUCUGAUCUCGGAAGCUAAGCAGGGUCAGGCCUGGUUAGUACUUGGAUGGGAGACAGCCUGGGAAUACCAGGUGCUGUAAGCU
rnacentral:rRNA from 1 species